CUACGGGCGGCUGCAGUGGGGAAUAUUGCACAAUGGGCGCAAGCCUGAUGCAGCCAUGCCGCGUGUAUGAAGAAGGCCUUCGGGUUGUAAAGUACUUUCAGCGGGGAGGAAGGGAGUAAAGUUAAUACCUUUGCUCAUUGACGUUACCCGCAGAAGAAGCACCGGCUAACUCCGUGCCAGCAGCCGCGGUAAUACGGAGGGUGCAGGCGUUAAUCGGAAUUACUGGGCGUAAAGCGCAUGCAGGCGGUUUGUUAAGUCAGAUGUGAAAUCCCCGGGCUCAACCUGGGAACUGCAUCUGAUACUGGCAAGCUUGAGUCUCGUAGAGGGGGGUAGAAUUCCAGGUGUAGCGGUGAAAUGCGUAGAGAUCUGGAGGAAUACCGGUGGCGAAGGCGGCCCCCUGGACGAAGACUGACGCUCAGGUGCGAAAGCGUGGGGAGCAAACAGGAUUAGAUACCCCAGUAGUC
rnacentral:rRNA from 1 species